UGGAUCAGGAUAUCGAUCUGCAAUGAGGUAGUUGAAGCAUCCAGCACAAUGUACUGCAAAAAGGGUUACCUGAUAUAUAAAAUUUGUAAGUUAAAUAGUUGAAACGGAUAUCUUUCUCAAGCCUGACGCAAAGGGAAUAAUGAAGGAGAUAUAUUAAGAUUUUAUGCUGCUUCUUUAAAUGGGCGAGCUAACUCGUCUGAGACGCCAGAGCCUUAGCAUACUAAGAACUCUGAAUCCUAUUUCGCUUCCAUUGUAAUUGAAAAGAAGACUCAGUGACUGGAAUGGAGCUGUUGAGCAGACAUCAAAGGCGAACCAAGUAGAAAGGUUUAUCGACCAGAAGAUAAGAGUGGCUGUCUAGGUAAGCAACGAAGAAGGUGAGAAUGAUGUCAAUGGCAAAGAAGCCA